GUCUUUUUGAAUAUAAUUUAAAGUCUAAUCUGCCCACUGAUUAAUAUUAAAGGGCUGCAGUAUCAUGACUGUACAAAGGUAGCAUAAUCAUUAGUUUUUUAAUUGAAAACUUGUAUGAAAGAUUUGAUGAAAUAUUAACUGUCUCUUAUUUUUUAUUAAAAUUUUAUUUUUUAGUAAAAAAGCUAAAAUAAUUUUAAAAGACGAGAAGACCCUAUAGAGUUUUAUAUUUAAUUUUAUUUUAAAAUUUAUAUUAAAAUUAAUAUUAAAAUAAAAUUAAAUAUUAUAUUGGGGUGAUAGAAAAAUUAAAAUAACUUUUUUUAAAUAGUAAACAUAAAUAAAUGAUUAAAUGAUCCAUUAAUAAUGAUUAUAAGAAAAAAUUACCUUAGGGAUAACAGCGUAAUAUUUUUUUUUAGUUCAAAUAAAAAAAAAAGUUUGCGACCUCGAUGUUGGAUUAAGAUAAAAUUUAAAUGUAAAAGUUUAAAAUUUUGAUCUGUUCGAUCAUAAAAUCUACA
rnacentral:rRNA from 1 species